rnacentral:rRNA from 1 species
AGUGAACGCUGGCGGUAGGCCUAACACAUGCAAGUCGAACGGCAGCACAGUAAGAGCUUGCUCUUACGGGUGGCGAGUGGCGGACGGGUGAGGAAUACAUCGGAAUCUACUUUUUCGUGGGGGAUAACGUAGGGAAACUUACGCUAAUACCGCAUACGACCUACGGGUGAAAGCAGGGGAUCUUCGGACCUUGCGCGAUUGAAUGAGCCGAUGUCGGAUUAGCUAGUUGGCGGGGUAAAGGCCCACCAAGGCGACGAUCCGUAGCUGGUCUGAGAGGAUGAUCAGCCACACUGGAACUGAGACACGGUCCUGACUCCUACGGGAGGCAGCAGUGGGGAAUAUUGGACAAUGGGCGCAGGCCUGAUCCAGCCAUACCGCGUGGGUGAAGAAGGCCUUCGGGUUGUAAAGCCCUUUUGUUGGGAAAGAAAAGCAGCAGGUUAAUACCCCGCUGUUCUGACGGUACCCAAAGAAUAAGCACCGGCUAACUUCGUG